ensembl:ncRNA W08F4.15 ncRNA
AAAUUGGUCUGCUAGACUACAAACUACAAAAUUAUAUUUAGCAGACCCAAGUGAUUUCAAUUCGAAA